rnacentral:rRNA from 1 species
CCUACGGGUGGCAGCAGUGAGGAAUAUUGGUCAGUGGACGAGAGUCUGAACCAGCCAAGUAGCGUGAAGGAUGACUGCCCUAUGGGCUGUAAACUUCUUUUUUAUGGGAAUAAAAUGUUCCACGUGUGUGAUGUUGUAUGUACCAUAUGAAUAAGGAUCGGCGAACUCCGUACCAGCAGCCGCGGUAAUACGGAGGAUCCGAGCGUUAUCCGGAUUUAUUGGGUGUAAAGGGAGAGUAGGUGGAAUGUUAAGUCAGUUGUGAAAGUUUGCGGCUCAACCGUAAAAUUGCAGUUGAAACUGGCAGUCUUGAGUGCAGUAGAGGUGGGCGGAAUUCGUGGUGUAGCGGUGAAAGGCUUAGAUAUCACGAAGAACUCCGAUUGCGAAGGCAGCUCACUGGACUGCAACUGACACUGAGGCUCGAAAGUGUGGGUAUCAAACAGGAUUAGAUACCCCAGUAGUC